GACGAACGCUGGCGGCGUGCUUAACACAUGCAAGUCGAACGGAAAGGCCCUGCUUUUGUGGGGUGCUCGAGUGGCGAACGGGUGAGUAACACGUGAGUAACCUGCCCUUGACUUUGGGAUAACUUCAGGAAACUGGGGCUAAUACCGGAUAGGAGCUCCUGCUGCAUGGUGGGGGUUGGAAAGUUUCGGCGGUUGGGGAUGGACUCGCGGCUUACCAGCUUGUUGGUGGGGUAGUGGCUUACCAAGGCUUUGACGGGUAGCCGGCCUGAAAGGGUGACCGGCCCCAUUGGACCUAGGGAGCGGCCAGUACGCCAACGGGAGGCAGGGGUGGGAAAUUUACGGCAAUGGGCGGAGGCAGGAUGCAGCAACGCCGGAUGGGGAAUGACGGCCUUCGGGUAGUAAACUACUUGCACGUGAGAGGAAGCGUGGGGAAGGGAAAUGGGUAAAAAGGCACGGGUAAAUUAGGU
rnacentral:rRNA from 1 species